UACGUAGGGUGCGAGCGUUAAUCGGAAUCACUGGGCUUAAAGCGUGUGUAGGCGGAUGUCUAAGUACCUUGUGAAAUCCCACGGCUUAACCGUGGAAUUGCUUGGUAUACUGGAUGUCUUGAGCCAGCUAGGGGCAACCGGAACAAAUGGUGGAGCGGUGAAAUGCGUAGAUAUCAUUUGGAACGCCAAUGGUGAAAACAGGUUGCUGGGGCUGUGCUGACGCUGAGACACGAAAGCCAGGGGAGCAAACGGG
rnacentral:rRNA from 1 species